GACGAACGCUGGCGGCGUGCUUAACACAUGCAAGUCGAGCGAGAAACCUUCGGGUUUCUAGCGGCGGACGGGUGAGUAACACGUGGGUAACCUGCCUCAAAGAGGGGGAUAGCCUUCCGAAAGGAAGAUUAAUACCGCAUAAUAUUACAGUUUCGCAUGAAGCAGUAAUUAAAGGAGUAAUCCGCCUUGAGAUGGACCCGCGGCGCAUUAGCUAGUUGGAGAGGUAACGGCUCACCAAGGCAACGAUGCGUAGCCGACCUGAGAGGGUGAUCGGCCACAUUGGAACUGAGACACGGUCCAGACUCCUACGGGAGGCAGCAGUGGGGAAUAUUGCACAAUGGGCGAAAGCCUGAUGCAGCAACGCCGCGUGAGUGAUGAAGGUCUUCGGGUUGUAAAGCUCUGUCUUUUGGGACGAUAAUGACGGUACCAAAGGAGGACGCCACGGCUAACUACGUGCCAGCCGCCGCGGUAA
rnacentral:rRNA from 1 species